rnacentral:rRNA from 1 species
AGAGUUUGAUCCUGGCUCAGAGUGAACGCUGGCGGCGUGCUUAACACAUGCAAGUCGCACGAGAAAGGACUUCGGUCUGAGUAAAGUGGCGCACGGGUGAGUAACACGUGAAUAACGUACCUCCGGAUGGGGAAUAACGUUCCGAAAGGAGCGCUAAUACCGCAUAAGACCACGUCAUCACAAGAUGAUGAGGCCAAAGCAGCAAUGCGUCUGGAGAUCGGUUCGCGUCCCAUUAGGUAGUUGGCGGGGUAAUGGCCCACCAAGCCAAAGAUGGGUAGCUGGUCUGAGAGGAUGAUCAGCCACAUUGGGACCGAGACACGGCCCAAACUCCUACGGGAGGCAGCAGUGGGGAAUCUUGCGCAAUGGGCGAAAGCCUGACGCAGCAACGCCGCGUGAGUGAUGAAGGCCCUCGGGUCGUAAAGCUCUGUCAGAAGGGAAGAAUUAAUGACGGUACCUUCAAAGGAAGCACCGGCUAACUCCGUGCCAGCAGCCGCGGUAAUACGGAGGGUGCAAGCGUUACUCGGAAUCAUUGGGCGUAAAGCGCACGUAGGCGGUCUCUUAAGUCCGAUGUGAAAUCCCGGGGCUCAACCUCGGAUGGCCAUUGGAAACUGAGAGACUUGAGAGUGGAAGGGGUCAGUGGAAUUCCUGGUGUAGGAGUGAAAUCCGUAGAGAUCAGGAGGAACACCGGUGGCGAAGGCGACUGACUGGGCCAUUUCUGACGCUAAUGUGCAAAAGCGUGGGGAGCAACAGGAUUAGAUACCCUGGUAGUCCACGCCGUAAACGAUGCUUGCUGGUUGUGG